CUAUUGUGUAGUUACUUGUUAAAGGUCUUUGAGUGCUGCUAUGUGUCAUGGAUGGGUGUGUCUACCAGAUUCCAGCGGUGACUUCCCCUGGACAUGUAUUGAACCUUGUUUUCUGGAAAACGAAUGAGAAUUUCUUAACCGGGCGUGAAACGUGUGGACCACCUGAAAGAUUGCUCUGUUCCAUGGGGUACUUCUCCGAUUCUGACUCGAGACACGUGAGGGUGCCGAAAAAUUAUGACACGUCGAUGAAAAUCCGAAAAAAAUGUUGUCUUAUGAGAGAUAAUGAAUGAGUUUUGCCGCCUGUUUUCCACAGUGGCAGAUAUUAGUGGCUGAGAGUCCAACUCGAGACAUGACAUCAUAAUGGGGUCUGCACAAUAGACUUUAUGAAACGAAUUGUGUAUGCAGUUAAACUUAAUGAAGACAUCGCCCAACUUAAAAGUGGCAAUACCGUCCUAAAUACAAGCUUAAAAAUGCGUUAGAUUCAGUUAAUGUUCGUCCACAGUACCAUCGAUUACCCGCAUGUUGAUAAACAAGCCAAUGAAUUUGCUGAUGAAGAAUUUUUCUUGGUGACUAGUGUCGUAAAUAAGGAUGGUGAUUGGAAUCUGUUGAGUUCGUUUUCUGAGGAAUUUUCUAGCCAGCCUACAAUUUCCUCAACGCUAGACUACCACGACUGGAGGAGUGAGAGGUCAACUCUUCCGUCUCUCCUGUUGUUGGUAAGAACAUACGUUCUAAGUCACUUUCUUCCUCAACAUUUUCCACGGCGGUUACAGUCUCUGGCAUUGGAAAAUCCUUGAAUGAGCGAUGAAUCGCCCUGAUGACGGAGGCAGUAUGACCUCUGAAACGUUGCUAAACAUCGA